CUGACCUCCGCACAUCUCACCCUCGCUCUUCACCCUGCCGUGAGCUCUGCAAUCUGCCACAACCUCCUUCGUGACCUCCGAUACUUGCCGCAAGCUUGUCGUGGACAUUCCCUCUAUUGCACUACCUCUAGGCCUCGUCGACGGUGUCCCUGACAUCUUUGAUGCCGCUAGUGAUGGCAGACAAGGAGACGAAGCAGUAAGAGUUAAUAGAAGGGGUGGAGUUGACGAUGUCUUUGGCGAUAGUGGUCUUGUCGGUGUCGGGUGGGCCCCACGGUUGUGUUGGAUUGCGGAGCGAAGAAGGGAGUUGGGGGCAAGGAGAUGCUCUUGACCUACGAUGUCGUCAAGGGUUCUGGGAUGCAAACGCUCGUACAAGGGUUCGUGAAUGUGGGUGUUGGGGUGUUUCUUGUCUGCGAUCUUAAAGAAGAAAGAGGGCUAUUGUUGUGGUUGUGCUGGAGAAGGAGAAGGAGAAGGUUUGGGGAAUUUGGAGGGGAGGAAAGGUUGAGAGCAAUAUGUCCGGUUUGCGGGAAGAUCGCAUAUCAAAAUCCGAAGAUGGUUGGCUGCCUCAUUGAACAUGAUAACAAGGUCCUUCUUUGCAAGAGGAGUAUUCAACCAUCUCAAUUAGGACCCUUUCUGCUGGUUAUUUGGAAAUUGGAGAGUCUGCUGUGGAAGGUGCCAUUAGGGAAACAAGGGAGGAAGCAAAUGCAGACGUAUAAGUAAUUUCUCCAUUUGCCCAAUUGGAUAUUCCUUUAAUUGGCCAAGUGAGAAAGAAGCUUUGAUUUAUUUCUUCAUUAUUUUUGUUAUUAUUUUUCUUUUUUGUUGAUUUCCUUGAUUUGGUAGAGAAUUUUGAUCAUGAUUAUGGAAUGUUUGAGGUAGAGUUACAUGAUAUUCUUAGCAAAGCUAAAGAAGCACCAUUUUUCACCUGGUCCAGAAUCAUCGUUAUGCCAACUUUUUCCACUUGAUGAUAUA